CGCAGGGCAAGCUGGGCGGGGACGAGGCCACUCUCGCGAGACUUGGACCGCGAUUUGCGACUGUCUGUCUAGUCCAAGUAGUCUCGGCUAUGCCGCUUGUCUGGGCUAUCGCCCGAACGGAGCUUCGGAAUCGGGUGAGUGUGACACAGGAGGAGACCGUGACACACAUCUGUCAGAGGUCCAGAAGACUAUUGCUGUGCGAAGUUGGACACCUGAAGUUUGGUGAGAAGUUGCAGGCAGAAAAUUUGGGAUCGGGCUCUUGA
rnacentral:lncRNA from 1 species